GGAGUCGGACAGGUCGUCGUCGCGGGUCGCAAGACCCGGGGAGGAAAGUCCGGGCUUCACAGGGCAGGACGCUGGGUAACGCCCAGGGGGAGCGAUCUCCGGAGAGUGCCACAGAGAGCAGACCGCCCGCGUUCGCGCGGGUAAGGGUGAAACGGUGGGGUAAGAGCCCACCAGUUGCGGUGGUGACAUCGCAAGCUAGGAAAACCCCGUCCGAAGCAAGACCAAAUAGGGGAGCGCCAAGGUCGGCCCGACCGAUGCUCCCGGGUAGGUUGCUUGAGGGUGCAGGUAACUGCACUCCUAGAGGAAUGACGACCCCCCGCGAGGGGACAGAACCCGGCUUAUCGUCCGACUCCCACU
rnacentral:RNase_P_RNA from 16 species